rnacentral:rRNA from 1 species
CCUACGGGAGGCAGCAGUGAGGAAUAUUGGGCAAUGGGGGCAAGCCUGACCCAGCCAUGCCGCGUGAGUGAAGAAGGUCUUAGGAUUGUAAAACUCCUUCGGACGUGGCGAAGAGGACGGUAGGGUCUGAAGAUGCACCGGAAAACUUCGAGCCAGCAGCCGCGGUAAUAAGAAGGGAGCGGGGGUUGUUCGGAUUUACUGGGCGUAAAGGGAGUGUAGGCGGAUAUGUAAGUGAGCGGUGAAAUGACGGGGCUCAACCCCGUAACUGCCAUUAUAACUAUGUAUCUUGAGUAUUUGAGAGGUUAGCGGAAUACCUAGUGUAGAGGUGAAAUUCGUAGAUAUUGCGUAGAACACCGGUGGCGAAGGCGGCUAUCUGGCCAUUUACUGACGCUGAGGCUCGAAAGCAUGGGGAUCAAACAGGAUUAGAUACCCUAGUAGUC